rnacentral:misc_RNA from 1 species
GAUGAAGAACGCAGCGAAACGCGAUAUGUAAUGUGAAUUGCAGAAUUCAGUGAAUCAUCGAAUCUUUGAACGCACAUGGCGCCUUCCAGUAUCCUGGGAGGCAUGCCUGUCCGAGCGUCGUUUCAACCCUCGAGCCCCCGUGGCCCGGCGUUGGGGAUCUGCCCAGGCAGUCCCCGAAAACCAGUGGCGGACCCGUUACAGGCCCUUCCCUUGCGUAGUAGCAUUCGCCUCGCAUCGGGAGCCGGCGGGCUUCCAGCCUCUAAACCCCCAUCAAGGCCGCCCCGGCGGCACCAAGGUUGACCUCGGAUCAGGUAGGAAUACCCGCUGAACUUAAGCAUAUCAAUAAGCGGAGGA